UACAGAGACUGCAAGCGUUAUUCGGAUUCACUGGGCGUAAAGGGUGCGCAGGCGGCCAAGUGUGUGAGGCGUGAAAGCCUGGGGCUUAACUCCAGAAUUGCACCUCAAACUACAUGGCUAGAGCAUUGGAGAGGGUAGCAGAAUUCACGGUGUAGCAGUGAAAUGUGUAGAUAUCGUGAGGAAUACCAGAGGCGAAGGCGGCUACCUGGACAAUUGCUGACGCUCAGGCACGAAAGCGUGGGGAGCAAAAGGG
rnacentral:rRNA from 1 species